CGGAGGAAAAGAAACCAACAGGGAUUGCCCUAGUAACGGCGAGUGAAGCGGCAACAGCUCAAAUUUGAAAUCUGGCGCAAGCCCGAGUUGUAAUUUGUAGAGGAUGCUUCUGGGCAGCGGCCGGUCUAAGUUCCUUGGAACAGGACGUCAUAGAGGGUGAGAAUCCCGUAUGUGACCGGCUGGCACCCUCCACGUAGCUCCUUCGACGAGUCGAGUUGUUUGGGAAUGCAGCUCUAAAUGGGAGGUAAAUUUCUUCUAAAGCUAAAUACCGGCCAGAGACCGAUAGCGCACAAGUAGAGUGAUCGAAAGAUGAAAAGCACUUUGGAAAGAGAGUUAAAAAGCACGUGAAAUUGUUGAAAGGGAAGCGCUUGCAACCAGACUUGUCGGCGGUGUUCCGCCGGUCUUCUGACCGGUCUACUCGCCGUCGACAGGCCAGCAUCAUCUGGGCCCGCCGGAUAAAGGCUUUGGGAAUGUAGCUCCCCUCGGGGAGUGUUAUAGCCCUUUGCACAAUACGGCGUGGCCCGGGUGAGGUCCGCGUUUCGGCAAGGAUGCUGGCGUAAUGGUUGUAAGCGGCCCGUCUUGAAACACGGACCAAGGAGUCGAUUAUCUAUGCGAGUGUUCGGGCGUCAAACCCCUACGCGUAAUGAAAGUGAACGGAGGUGGGAACCUUAGGGUGCACCAUCGACCGAUCCGGAUGUCUUCGGAUGGAUUUGAGUAAGAGCAUAGCUAAUCGGACCCGAAAGAUGGUGAACUAUGCCUGAAUAGGGUGAAGCCAGAGGAAACUCUGGUGGAGGCUCGCAGCGGUUCUGACGUGCAAAUCGAUCGUCAAAUUUGGGUAUAGGGGCGAAAGACUAAUCGAACCAUUAACUACUAGGUGGUUAAUCCGUUGCUCGACAGCGGAGGCGGCAACGUCCGUCGACACCGUCAAAUUGCGGGGAAUCGCUGAGGCCCCCACCGACCGCCACCGCCCGGAAACGGGCUCAUUGGCGAGGCGCACCGCGAGGGGCGCCGGAAGGUUGGUGGGGGAUUGCGUGAUCCGCAGCCAAGUCCGUCAGUCCACCCCUUCGGGGGCGACCCGGACCAGAGUUCACAGACUCGACGUCGGUGGGCCGCGCGGCGCACGCGUGGCUUGAGAUAGAGUCGGAUCGACCGAGAAAUGAUCG
rnacentral:misc_RNA from 1 species